GGACCUGCAUAUACUUCUAAACAUUUUGCACACUUUUGUGCACAGUGUAAGAUUUUACACACCACUAGCAUACCUUUUAAUCCUCAACUACAGGCAAUAGUAGAGAAGAGAAACAGAGACAUUAAGAUGCUCCUCUGAAAACAAAAGUAAGGGGGAGCCACAGACAACCCUAGAGAACUUGUAAAUCUAGCUCUUUAUACUAUUUCUUGAUGUUUGACAAGGUGCAUUGGCUCUGGCAGGCAGGUUUUAUAACCCACCGGAAGGGCAGUGUCCAGUGCGAGCCUCUCCAUUAUCUUUAAUCGCCAGGUGAUGUGGAGAGGCCCAGAAAGUGGUGAAUGGAAGGGACCAGAUAUGUUAACUGCUUGGGGGAGAGGGUUUGCUGUUAUCUCCACAAAUGGAGAAGGAAUCAGAUGGGUGCCAAUGUGCCAUAUUCACCUUGUCCAUCAGAGAGAGAUGGAGCACACCUUGAAAGGAAGAAGACCCAAGAAACAUCUGGUGGUUCCAUUGCUGACUGUGCUCACCACUGAAUGAGCACGGCAGUUAUGGCGUUUGACUUGUGGACAUCAACAAUUGUAGAACUGCAAAACUCUCAGGAAUCACUGGAUUCUCUGAGAUAUGAAAAGACUGUUGCAGGACUUCAAAAACUUGUGCGAAUCAUUGGAUCCCAUGACAUGUUAAGCAAUGCACAAUAGAUUGAUUUUGGACUAUCUCUUGGCUGCUGAAGAAGGCGUAUGUGUGACUGUUGUUUACAUACCCUUCUUUUAGAACUUGUGGAAAUCUUUUACAACACUAUAGUGAUUCAUAUUGUUUGUUAUAUCACUACUUGCAUGUACAAUUGAUGUUUGUUGCACCACCUUGAGCCUGCAGUGGUUGUGCGGAGAGUCAUCACUACUAGCCUGUGCAAUAUUGAUAUGUGCUUGUGUAAUACCUCCCAUGCUGAUGGGUUUGUGCAUACCUGUUUCUAAUAAAACCCUUCAGCCCAGAAA